CUCCUUCCUACAUCUUGUUCCCCAUGCACAACAGACGUCUAAUAAAGCUCGCUGGGUAAAGAGUGAAGAAACCUGGCUGCAGGACAUACACACAGGCGUGUGAAUAUCUAGAAUGAAUGCCAGCCAGUAGGAACUCCAAAGAGCCCUGCACAACUAUCCUCAGGAGACAACGGCAGCAGACAGCAGCUGUGCUGUCGCACCGAUGACCCCAGGAGCCUAGGAAGAAGACAAUCUAAGAACUCUGCACAGGAAGGAAAUUGGCCUGUGUGCCUACUCAGACACCUUGCAAAGCGUGCAUCAUCUUUUUAUUCAACUGCUUCCUCCUCCUGCUGCCCCUCCACCACCUCCAUCACCAUCACCUCCACCACCACCACCACCACCUCCACCAGAGGCUUGGAGUAGUUUGUACUAUGAGCUCCGGACAGACACUGUCUGUCCAAACUCUCCUCCUAACCUACACAUUUCCUCUGACACGGCUCAGCUGCCUCUCUUGUUCCUUAGUUUCCUCAUCUGCAGCAACUCAGAGGCUUUUGAUGAUUAAGAGACAA